CUUGCAGUUGUCUGGAGCGGACCACCAUAGUUUCCACCAAGCGGCUGCAGAAGUCUGAGACUGCGGAAUGAUCUUCAGAAUGGUUUCAUCAGGAACCGAUGGAGUAACAGUACUGUAAUUGGAGGUAUAAAAACAUUUGUCAAGUGGAACAAAGCAUCCACCUCUCCCUCUUCUGCAAUGAUUACAUAUUUCAUGGAAAAGAAGGAUACAGCACUGUUUUUACUAGUGAACUACAUAUGCAGUUCUUCAACUGACACCUAUGAGAUGGGGUGAACAGAGUUGAAACAUAUUCAGUUCUAAUCAUAUAUAUGCAAAAACUUUCCAGUGCUGCAAUGAAAAAUGAGCAAUCAGACAAUGCCUAGGAAAAAUAACGGUGAAAGAAGUAGCAACAGGCUCAAGGAGCAUCCUGACUAUUUUUAUAAAGAUUUCCAAAAGAUGAAACUUUCCAGAGACAAUGGACUGGAUCUAUAGGUAGACCAUACUGGAUAUGCUCUACACAUUUUCAUGAAAAUAAUUUACACAAAACUUGUAUGUCUCAAGUUCAAAUCAAACAGCGAGCAGUUCAACAAUAUUUAUG